rnacentral:rRNA from 1 species
UACGGAGGGUGCAAGCGUUAUCCGGAUUCACUGGGUUUAAAGGGUGCGUAGGCGGGUAGGUAAGUCAGUGGUGAAAUCCUGGAGCUCAACUCCAGAACUGCCAUUGAUACUAUCUAUCUUGAAUAUUGUGGAGGUAAGCGGAAUAUGCCAUGUAGCGGUGAAAUGCUUAGAUAUGACAUAGAACACCCAUUGCGAAGGCAGCUUACUACGCAUAUAUUGACGCUGAGGCACGAAAGCGUGGGGAUCAAACAGGAUUAGAUACCCUGGUAGUCCACGCCCUAAACGAUGGAUACUCGACAUACGCGAUACACUGUGUGUGUCUGAGCGAAAGCAUUAAGUAUCCCACCUGGGAAGUACGUUCGCAAGAAUGAAACUCAAAGGAAUUGGCGGGGGUCCGCACAAGCGGUGGAGUAUGUGGUUUAAUUCGAUGAUACGCGAGGAACCUUACCUGGGCUAGAAUGCUGGGAGACCGCUAGUGAAAGCUAGUUUUGUAGCAAUACACUGCCAGUAAGGUGCUGCAUGGCCGUCGUCAGCUCGUGCCGUGAGGUGUUGGGUUAAGUCCCGCAACGAGCGCAACCCCUAUCUUUAGUUGCCAACAGGUAAUGCUGGGAACUCUAAAGAAACUGCCGCCGUAAGGUGUGAGGAAGGAGGGGAUGAUGUCAGGUCAUCAUGGCCUUUAUGCCCAGGGCUACACACGUACUACAAUGGGGAAGACAAAGGGCUGCAACAUAGCGAUAUGAAGCCAAUCCCAAAAACUUCCUCUCAGUUCAGAUUGCAGGCUGCAACUCGCCUGCAUGAAGCUGGAAUCGCUAGUAAUCGUAUAUCAGCAAUGAUACGGUGAAUACGUUCCCGGACCU